rnacentral:rRNA from 1 species
GAUGAACGCUGGCGGCGUGCCUAACACAUGCAAGUCGAGCGAAGCGCUUAAAUUAGAUUUCUUCGGAAUGACGAUUUUUGUGACUGAGCGGCGGACGGGUGAGUAACGCGUGGGUAACCUGCCUCAUACAGGGGGAUAACAGUUAGAAAUGACUGCUAAUACCGCAUAAGACCCCAGCUUCGCAUGAAGCGGUGGUAAAAACUCCGGUGGUAUGAGAUGGACCCGCGUCUGAUUAGCUAGUUGGUAAGGUAACGGCUUACCAAGGCGACGAUCAGUAGCCGACCUGAGAGGGUGACCGGCCACAUUGGGACUGAGACACGGCCCAGACUCCUACGGGAGGCAGCAGUGGGGAAUAUUGCACAAUGGGGGAAACCCUGAUGCAGCGACGCCGCGUGAAGGAUGAAGUAUUUCGGUAUGUAAACUUCUAUCAGCAGGGAAGAAAGUGACGGUACCUGACUGAGAAGCCCCGGCUAACUACGUG